rnacentral:rRNA from 1 species
GACGAACGCUGGCGGCGUGCUUAACACAUGCAAGUCGAGCGGUAAGGCCCUUUCGGGGGUACACGAGCGGCGAACGGGUGAGUAACACGUGGGUGACCUGCCCUCAGCUCUGGGAUAAGCCUGGGAAACCGGGUCUAAUACUGGAUAUGACUCCAUGACGCAUGUUGUGGGGUGGAAAGCCUUGUGCGGCUGAGGAUGGGCCCGCGGCCUAUCAGCUUGUUGGUGGGGUGAUGGCCUACCAAGGCGACGACGGGUAGCCGGCCUGAGAGGGCGACCGGCCACACUGGGACUGAGACACGG